UUGGGCGGAGUGUAAGCAUUUCCGGUUGGGCUGAACCCGAAGCUAGAGAGUGAAAGACAGGCGGCGUGGGCGGAAGUAGGUUUGCCCCUACCGGAAGCCUCUGCCUCAACAUCCAUAACUUUAUUGUAACGUGUGGUUGAAGUUUUUUUGCCAAGUAAGGCUGGAAGGGAGAGAGCAGAUAUGUAAAGUCAUCGAAACAAUGCAUCCUGGCGUGUGCCUCCAGCCGAGGAUCCAAAUCCUUGGCCAAUGUCUCAUUUCCCUGCUGACAGUUUAAUGAGGCCAAAGCGUGUCUAACAGGUGCUACCAUCCAGGCGAGAAUUCCACGGUUGGAGGCAUUGGAGAGCCACCAGAAGACAGCUGGUCUCCCUGACCUUCACAAGAAGUCAAUGGUGUAAGAACAUGUCAUUCCUUCUUGUAGGUGAGAGGUGGUCCUCGCCCCCGCCCCUUUUUAUAGAGCAGUGCCAUUGUCAGAAGUGUUGAAGAAACACAGGGUAAUGUACCCCUACUAAAUGACCUCCACUCCGGUAAAGUCUGA